rnacentral:rRNA from 1 species
UACAGAGGGGGCAAGCGUUGUUCGGAAUUACUGGGCGUAAAGGGCGCGUAGGCGGCCUUCUAAGUCGAACGUGAAAUCCCCGGGCUCAACCCGGGAACUGCGUCCGAUACUGGAAGGCUUGAAUCCGGGAGAGGGAUGCGGAAUUCCAGGUGUAGCGGUGAAAUGCGUAGAUAUCUGGAGGAACACCGGUGGCGAAGGUGGCAUCCUGGACCGGCAUUGACGCUGAGGCGCGAAAGCCAGGGGAGCAAACGGG